AAAAUACCAAAAAGAUUUUUCUUUCAUAGUUGUUGAUGUCAUUUUUCUGCGAAGUAUCAAAAUGAAAACUCAAAAGAUUUUAUUAACAUAGUUCAUCGUCUGUCUUUGGUCGUGUUUCUUAAGUCAGGGUCUGGCCUGUUAUUUAAUAAUUAAUUGUCCAAUCUGGACGAACUACGCACCCCUGAUUCUCCUCUUUCGGGAUGUGAGAUACGUAGGCAGCCUAUUGUUGGUUCGGAGAUCUUAUUUAAAAAAUUUUAAAAAAAAAUGAUUUUCUUCACUCUUUAUUUAGAGUAGGUGUUUCAUACAUAUCUUGAAAAGAAAAAA
rnacentral:lncRNA from 1 species